AUCAAAAUGAAACAACACACAAAUUAGAAGGCCAAAUUUUAAAACAUAAGGUAGGCAAAUUGGGCGCAAAUUGAAUGUUGUGCGUAAGGGAAAGGACCCACCAAGCAAAUUCCCCACUUUUGAGUGAUAAUGUGCAGAUUGGGCCCGCCAAAUGAGCUGACACGCAGGCCUUUAUUUAUGUAAACAUCACUACUUUGUUAAAAGGUUAUUUAAAACCUUUCUUUCCCCAUUUUCCAUCUCAAACGCAGCCCCAUUUUUAAGCCGAAAAUCACAGCCUUGGAAGCAAAUUUCUAGGGUUUCUUUUGCUAGCAGCCGAACCACCAUUGUUUUGGUGAUCAACAGCAUGCAGACAGUACCCAUCUUCCUCGUUGAAGGCGUUCGACCAUGGCUAGAGAAAUUUGAUACCGUGGGCCUUCUCUUUACAUUUGACUAUCCUCAGUUUUAUGGCCGAGAGAAGAAAAGAAAAUCAAAAAAUACAAAUUUCCUUGCUGUCCUCUUCUUCCCCCCUCCUUUUACAAAGAUUAAAAGCUGGGCUUUUAUAGCCGAAAAAGGAAAUAAACCGAAAAAAUACAAUAUACUUGUUUGCAUUCGCUGCUGUUUUUGUUUCCUUCUUGUAGGUACAGAGUUUGUUGGCAUGCGUACGGGGUACAAGCGUGGCGUACGAGGGCUGUAGAGGUAUGGGACUGCUGUAGUGGAGGUAUGGGGCUGUUUCUUGGUUGUGGCGCAUUAGUUAUUGGGUCUAGGUAUUAGUGUUUUAAUUUGGGUCAAAGCCCGUUAAUAGACUGUUAUAAGGUUUAAGUUUUGGUCUUGUAAUUGGGCUUUGAUUGGUUAUUGGCCUGUGGACUAUUGUAAUCAUUUGGACUUUGGACUGUUAAUAUUUAUAUUCAAUGUUUAUGUUUUUUUUUUGUUUAUUUGGGCCGGGCAAAUUUGGCCCACUACACUCCUAAUCCUUUAAAUUUAUGUUUCUAUACUUAGGUGAGCAUAGGGAAGUGAAAGGAGAGAAAAACAGGCCAAAAUCGGACAAAAAGAGUUGUUUUCAAGAACCACACGGGCUGGGUACUUCCACACGGGCUAGCCACACGCCCAUGUGCUAACCCAUGUCGAUUUCGAACCCUGUUUCUCUUUUAUGCGAAAAAACUCAAUUUUUAGGGUUUUUGAGCAUUCUAAAGUUUAUAAAUACAUAUUAGAAAAGGACUAAAAGAGACACACAGAGUAAAGCGAAGAAAUUACUCGAAGAACACUGUCGGAAUCAAGUCAGAAGCAAAUUUUCUUCAAGAUUAAAAAUCUCCGUUCAAACUUCCUUUGAAGUUUUAUUGGGUUUCUUAUGUCUUGUUGUUAUUCUAAUUUUGAAAUGUUUCCAUCCCAGAUUAUGGACUAAAUUCCCUAAAUACCUAAGGAAGAUGAAACCAAUGAUGGAUCUUAUUAUUUAAUUUUCUGAAUUACAUGAUAAA